GACGAACCGUGCGAACGUUAUUCGGAAUCACUGGGCUUAAAGCGCGUGUAGGCGGGUUGCCACGUCGGAUGUUGAAAUCCCCCGGCUCAACCGGGGAACAGGCACCGAUACGAGCAGCCUGGAGGGGAGUAGGGGGACCUGGAACUUCCGGUGGAGCGGUGAAAUGCGUUGAGAUCGGAAGGAACGCCCGUGGCGAAAGCGAGGUCCUGGGCUCUUACUGACGCUGAGACGCGAAAGCCAGGGGAGCAAACGGG
rnacentral:rRNA from 1 species